rnacentral:rRNA from 1 species
AUUGAACGCUGGCGGCAGGCCUAAUACAUGCAAGUCGAGCGGAGUGGCGAACGGGCGAGUAACACGUGGGUGACCUGCCCUGCACCUCGGGAUAAGCCUGGGACACUGGGUCUAAUACCGGAUAGUGUGGGAUGGGCCCGUGGCCAAUCAGCUUGUUGGUGGGGUAAUGGCCUACCAAGGCGGCGACGGGUAGCCGGCCUGAGGAGGUGGACGGCCACAAUGGGACUGCGAGACGGCCCAGACGCCAACGGGAGGCAGCAGUGGGGAAUAUUGCACAAUGGGCGGGAGCCUGAUGCAGCGACGCCGCGUGGGGGAUGACGGCCUGCGAGUUGAAAACUCCUUUGUCCGUCGACGCGGUAGAUGGAGAGGAAGCACCGGCUAACUACGUGCCAGCAGCCGCGGUAAUAC